rnacentral:rRNA from 1 species
CGCGUGAGAAUCUGGCUCUAGGUUCGGGACAACCACUGGAAACGGUGGCUAAUACCGGAUAUGCCGUGUAGGUGAAAGGCUUGCUGCCUAGAGAAGAGCUCGCGUCUGAUUAGCUAGUAGGUGUGGUAAGAGCGCACCUAGGCGACGAUCAGUAGCUGGUCUGAGAGGAUGAUCAGCCACACUGGGACUGAGACACGGCCCAGACUCCUACGGGAGGCAGCAGUGGGGAAUUUUCCGCAAUGGGCGAAAGCCUGACGGAGCAAUACCGCGUGAGGGAGGAAGGCUCUUGGGUUGUAAACCUCUUUUCUCAGGGAAGAAGAAUGACGGUACCUGAGGAAUAAGCAUCGGCUAACUCCGUGCCAGCAGCCGCGGUAAUACGGAGGAUGCAAGCGUUAUCCGGAAUGAUUGGGCGUAAAGCGUCCGUAGGUGGUUAUUCAAGUCUAUUGUCAAAGCGUCUGGCUCAACCAGAUAAAGGCAGUGGAAACUGAAAGACUAGAGUGCAUUCGGGGCAGGGGGAAUUCCUGGUGUAGCGGUGAAAUGCGUAGAGAUCAGGAAGAACAUCGGUGGCGAAAGCGCCCUGCUAGGCUGCAACUGACACUGAGGGACGAAAGCUAGGGGAGCGAAUGGGAUUA